rnacentral:rRNA from 1 species
AUACGGAGGGUCCGAGCGUUAUCCGGAAUCAUUGGGUUUAAAGGGUCCGUAGGCGGGAAUCUAAGUCAGUGGUGAAAUCUUGCAGCUUAACUGUAAAAUUGCCAUUGAUACUGGAUUUCUUGAAUUAGUGUGAAGUGAUUAGAAUGUGUAGUGUAGCGGUGAAAUGCAUAGAUAUUACACAGAAUACCAAUUGCGAAGGCAGAUCACUAACACUAUAUUGACGCUGAGGGACGAAAGCGUGGGGAGCGAACAGGAUUAGAUACCCUAGUAGUCC